UGUUUGAUUAAACCAUUUCACAUUGAAAACCAAAUUGAAAACCACAACAUUCGAUCAAUCAAAUAUCAGAGUAUCAAUCCCAGAAUAAACUCGUAACUACGGAAACAAGAGAGUGUGUGUGUGUGUGUGACAUGUUGCUACCGCGCCGACUCCUUUCCCCUAGCUGAGGAGGUACCUGAAACCAAAACUGAAAACCGUAAGCACGAAGCUUAGUGAGUUCCCCCACUGUACCACAUACCAUAUAAUCUCAUAACAUACAUAUACUGUCAGGCAUAUCUGGGUGCCCGACCUACCCCUUCGGCCCUCUCGGCCGGACAUUGCCUAGCAUAUCUGGGUGCUGGCCUCCCCUUCGGUCCUCUCGACCGGAUAUUGCCUAGCAUAUCUGGGUGCUGGCCUCCCCUUCGGUCCUCUCGACCGGAUGCUGGGGAACUAUUCCUCCCCUCCACUACUACCACAUAACAUGUAUCACAAUAUCAGAAUCUAUCUAACAUGGUUGGGUAUGACUACCCCUUCGGCCCUAACGACCGGAUACCUCGGGGACUAUCUCCCCCUACUGUCACUAGCACGUAACAUCAUAUCAUGCUAGCACAUAAACAUAACACGAGUAGUAGUAAUCCCUAGAGGAAUAUCACGGAGACAAUCAUCUAGAUACAACUCCUACUGGUGGGCCGGCAUUGUGGCCGUAGACCCACCGCUACUGGAAGGUAACUCACCUCGAAGUAGCUGCUGAUCUGAUCGGGAACUGACUGUCUACUGCUGCUGCUGCUCCGGAAAUCCUCCGGCUGCAAUUCCCACAACAUACUCAAUCAAACACUGCUAACUGUCCUUUGGGUAAAAUGACCAUUUUACCCCUGAUCAUGCCCUAAGUCAAAGUCAGAGUCAACUUUCAGUUGACCCGACUCGCCGAGUUGGCUUUCCAACUCGCCGAGUCCCUACCCAAACGAUUGUCCUGAAUCCCGUUUCUACUCGUCGAGUUAGGCGACGACUCGACGAGUUCUCCUUCUAAACUGAUAUUCAAGUCCUUCAUCCUACUCGCCGAGUUGUAUGAACAACUCGUCGAGUUCAUCUUCAUCCGAUGAACACUUAUGCUAAGACUCGCCGAGUUGUAUGAACAGCUCGCCGAGUUCAUCUUCAUCCGAAGAACACUUAUGCUGCGACUCGCCGAGUUGUAUGAACAACUCGCCGAGUCUGUUCUUGAUCUAAGGAGAUUGCCUUGAACUCGCCGAGUCAGGGCAUUGACUCGCCGAGUUCCUCCAUAGAUGAGUUCAGCUUCCGACUCACUGAGUCACACCCCGUGACUCACUGCUCACUCGACACUACGAAAAGGGGACAAACUCGGAGACUCGCGAACCGACUCGCCGAGUCAGAUGAACGACUCGCCGAGUCGUUACCAUGCAAUUACUAUAUGGUCGAUUCUGCUUGAAUCCAGCUCAUGCCAUACAUAGAUCUGGGCUCCUAGGGCCUGGUUAUCACGUAAAGUUUCCAACUUUACGUGUAAAUAGACCACCAUGAGGGUUUUAAGGUCCAAAAUGCACCAAAAGGGGUAGAUCUAGGGCUUUCAUGCAAUAUGGUUCCAAAAAGACAGUAGAUUUGAGCUCCUGGAGCUCAACCAUGCCUAGAUCUAAAGGUCAAUCAGCUUAUUACAAACCCUCAAACAUACACAAUCUUGAAAAUGGCUUAAAGAGGACUUUAAUGAAGCUAUAAGGGACAAUAAGCUUAAAAACAAAGGGGAAACGAGCUAUACCUCAGGGGAAACGUUGGAAUGACACAGAGAUGCUUGGCCUCCUUCUCCUCUUCUUGAUUCACUCUUCUUUCUCCUCAAAAACUUCAAGAACACCACAAAAACACUUCAAACUCACAAGGAAGCAAGGCCAGAGAGAGAUACAGGGCUCUGAGGGUGAAUGAGGGCGAGAUUGGGGCGGAAAGAGAGUUUAAAUAUGGUGCAAACCCCUGAAACUUAGGGUUUCAUCCAACAGCGGUGACUCGUCGAGUCCGGAAUAUGGACUCGCCGAGUCACCAACUUAAAAGUGUCCCGGGUCCCGUAUCUACUCGGCGAGUCGGACCUAUGACUCGCCGAGUCCAAGGCUAAAAGAAGAGAAAUACUCAAAUAAGAUUUACGUACCAGGAACCAGGUGCUACAAUUUUGUUGCAUUGUAGCGAAUGUAUUGAAAAUAUUUUGUGGAAGGGUUGUAGGGAAUUGUGGUAGGGAUGAGGCGAGAUUGAAAAAGUUGUCGAAAAUUGGAAGUUGCAGUGUGCCUUGAGUAUUGAGGAUGUUCGCGUACAACUCAUAUUGUACACAACCAAGAGGAGGAGAUGUAUUUGUGUUUGGAGGAGUGUUGGGGUUUUGAUCCAUAUUGUGUUGUGUGUAAAAAAUUAUUUGAGAAAUGAUAUGUAAAAAAUAAAGUGAGAAAUGGUAUGUAAAAAAUGAAGUGAAAAUGUAUAUAUAUGGUGAGUAAAAAUUGAAAAAAUAGCUUUUUUUUAAACAUUUCGACCGUUCUUCAAAGGUCCAUUUUUGAUCGUUACCAAAAAAUCGACGACAUACAUUGUGUUUCUUCCCGUUGCCAUGAUAACACACGAUAACAUAACGCCAAAAAAGGGGACCGGAGGUGGUGUUCCUCGUUAUAAUGUGUUAUAACGGCAUUAUUACGAGGUCACAUCGGAAUAACGUUCUCCGGCAUUGCCCAUACCAACUCAUCUACUAAAGAAAAAUAAAGAUAGGAUGAUCAUGAUCUCACCUAGGACUCUAUAUUUUCAUUUGUCAGAUCAAAAUUGUAAGAUAUUGAAAUUUAAAUCGGAAUCUUAAAGCUCAUCAAGAUAAGCAAAUUACCAAAAUUCGUAUUAUGUUUGUAAGCUCAUUGUUUAUUAAUUGGAUUAUUAAGAAGUCAAUAAAAUUCACCAAUUUAUAGACUCCGGCCAUCUACAAGUUCAAAAUCGGCCGAAAAAAGGCGUCAUCAACACUUGGGGGUAUUCCACUUCUUACAAAGUUACAAUCGAUCGAUUUUACACAUCAAAUUUGCUAUCACCGAAUUUAGCGAAGUAGUUUGCUUCAAUUUAGUUAAAACCCUUUCACUGUAUGUUUCCCCUCUAUUCUAAUCAACCUAACACUCAGCCAUGGCGUCUUCUGGUAAAUUUCUCUCAAUAAUUUCAUAUGUUUCGAAUAGUUCACAUUUCAUUCUUCCUAUUUUUCCGGCUUUAUAUAUAUAUAUAUGAAUGUAUGAAUGUGAUGAAAUUAGGUUACGGCGUCUUCUGGUAAAUUUCUCUCAAUAAUUUCAUAUGUUUCGAAUAGUUCACAUUUCAUUCUUCCUAUUUUUCCGGCUUUAUAUAUAUAUAUAUGAAUGUAUGAAUGUGAUGAAAUUAGGUUACGGCGUAAUGCGAAAACCGGGUGAAUUCUUUGAUUUAGGUCAAAACUAUCGAUUUUAUGUUAUUAAACACAAGGCAUCACCAAUUUUCCAGAAUUCACGUUCUUCUUAGCGAGACGAAUAAUUUGAGUUUGAAAGUCAAAACUGCUCUUACUUACAGAUUGAUGUUCUAUGUGUAGCUUGUGUUAGAUCGUAGUAGAUGAGAUCAAAGGCGUUUUUAUGAUGGAUUUCACAGAAAAGGAACUAUGUGUGCUAUGUGAGAGAGGCGGGAAGCUUUUGGUCUGCAACGACAAUGGCUGCCCUAUAUCUGUUCAUGAAGAUUGCAUGGGUUGCAGCCCUCGAUUCAAUGAAACUGGCAACUUCUGUUGUCCUUACUGUGUUUACAGACGACUGACUACAGAAACAUGUCAAUUGAGAGAUAAAGCCAUGUUAGCAAAGAAAGCUUUGUCAUCUUUCUUAGGUGAAAAUGUCGCUCAAAACCAAUCUAAAUCUUUCUCUUCACCAUGUGAAAGUAAACAUGAAACCUCUGUAUCUGAGGAAACUGAUCGGAUUCCUAACAGGAAUGGAGAAUUUUCUGGUGUUUGUGAUGGUAGUACAUGUAGGAUUAUGGUUGUUUAUGAUGGUGAUGCAUGUAAAGAACAGGGGAUGAAUGCUAAAAGGGUUCCAGUUGAGGAUGAAGCAGGGAGUUCUGAGAAGAAAACUACUGCAUUCAAUGGAAAACCACCAUUGUUGAAAGGAAAGCGUAAAAGAUGGAGUGAAGAAGAAGAAGAUAUGCUUAAGGUAUGCUGUAAAACUUUUGUAAACAGGAAAUCUUUUUGAUAAAAGGUGCAAUGAUUAGCAUAGGAAUCUUUGUGCGAUUUGUGUGGAAUUGGAAUUCAGUUCAAACUUCUAUAAGAAAAAACUUGUUGCCUUUUCAUUUGGUUCCAAUAUCUUGCUCAUGAAAGCUCACCAAUUCCAUUCCAUUAGAAUUUAAAGUAAAUUACAGUUUUGGUCCCUUAGUAUAGUUAAUUUUUUGCAAUUUUGGUCCUAAAAAGUUUUCUUUUUCAUUUGUGGUGUUAAUUUUAGGUUAUUGUGAAGUUUUGGUCUAUGUUCCAAGUAAAAUAACUUUUCUUGGUUCCCAACCAUAACUGGUUUUUGAAAUUUUGGUCAAAUAUGAGCAAACUAGAAAAGUCAAAUAUGCUGAUGCUGCUUUAAUUGUAAACGUUGCAGGAAGGAGUUCAAAAGUUCUCAGCUACAGCCAACAAAAACUUCCCUUGGAAGAAAGUUUUGGAAUUUGGUCGUCAUGUUUUUCAUACAUCACGGACACCUUCUGACUUGAAGGAUAAGUGGAGGAAUAUUUCUAAAUAGAGAUCAACAAAUUCACACUUUUGUUUUUGUUGUUUUUUUUUCAAAAACAAUCUAUGAACCAAAUGCCCAUCUUAAUGCCUCUUUAGGUUUUUCCAUACAGGUGGAAAUUGGUAGUCUUGUUGCAAGUAUAUAUAUAUAUAUAUACAUAUAUAUAUAUAUAUAUAUAUAUAUAUGUGUGNAUGAGGGCGGUAAAAUUGUAAUCUUAACUUAAUUAAUUUUGGUAAUUAAAUAGGGUAAAAUCAAAUCCCUUUAAUUGAGACAAAUGCCCAUCUAACCCAAAUUAGUUUAAUACUUUAUAAUUAUGCGUUGCAAUGAUGUGUAAAUUAGAUUUUAGCAGAAAUUACACGAAUGGUCCCUAUGGUUUAGGGUAAUUUGUGUGUUUGGUCCCUAACUUAUUUUUUAACUCGCAAGGUUCCUAAAGUUUUUUUUUGUUACACGUUUGGUCCCUGUCUUACCUAAAAACAUUAUUUUGCCCUUAAGUUUUUAAUUUAUUUAAUGACAAAAUUGCAAAAAUGGUCCUUGUGGUAUGCAUUUUUUUGGGAUUUUAGUCCAAACCAUGACUUUUUUGGAUUCGUGGUCCUUUUGGACUAGUUUGUAUGUAAAAAUGGUCCCUUGGUAAACUGAAAUGACUUUUAUGCCCCUUAUGUAUUUAUUUUUGAUUUUUUUUUCAUUUUUUUAAAUUUAGUAUAUAUAUUUAUCUAUUUUAAAAAUUAAUAAAUAAAGAGAGGACCUCUCUCUCUCUCUCUCUCUCUCUCUCUCUCUCUCUUAUUGAACCACCACCAGAGGUGGAAACCGGCCGCCGGAAAAGUGCAGCAACCCUCCACAACCCUCCUCCACCUCUUUCUCUUGUCAAAUAAUAACCCCAACACCCUCUUCUACAUGGAUACUUUCUCCUUCGCUCCGAAAGCUGCCAAAGUUGAAGAACGAGCCACAAAGGGCUUGUCGGAGACACCAACUGCCACCUUUACCCCGUCUCUUUCUUUCGUCGAGUAAGCACCUCCGAUGCCCCACUAGAAUCGUUUGCCAUUACACCCUUCACUCCACUCCUAUUUGUUGUCGGCAACAAGGACUCGACUCCUCCUCCUUCUUGUCGAACGAAACAGCCCAAGCACCACCUGAGAAUCGCCGCUCCUUCAGCCAUUUCCGUUCGUGAUUUUCGUCGGAUUAGAAAAACAGCCAAGGGAAGCCGCUGCUUCUUUUCCUUCGCGAAUCGUGGCCAGAGAUCGACGUCCACCCCUCCUCACGAUUUCAUCAGCCACUCCGGUGCCAUCGUUGCUGCUGAUUUGUUUCCUCUUCCCCCGAUCAGAUGAAGACUGACACCCUUUUGAUUGUUCGUGUGUGUGUCAGUGCAAACCUGUGAAUUGAUUUCCAUGUGAACAUCUGAAUUGAUUUCCAAAAACGAAACGAAAAAUAGAUCCCGCCCAAAAAUAUGAACCCAUGUGAAUCAUUUUCCAAAUUUUAUGUGUUGAAGAACUUGUGUAUUUUCAAGAACAAGAAAAACGAUUGUGUGUGUUCUGGAGAGAGAGAGAGAGAGAGAGAGAGAGAGAGAGAGAGAGANUGAGGGAGAGAGAGAGAAGGAGGAAGGGAGAGAGAGAGAGAGAGAGAGAGAGAGAGAAUGGGGUGUGGGCCCCAUUUUAUUAGCAAUAAAACAUUAAAUUAAAUAGAAAAAAAUAAAAAUAUAUAUUAAGAGGACAAUUUAGUCAUUUCAAUUUUCGGAGGGACCAUUUUUACAUACAAACUAGUCCAAAAGGACCACGAAUCCAAAAAAGUUGUGGUUUGGACUAAAACCCCCAAAAAAUGCAUACCACAGGGACCAUUUUUGUAAUUUUGUCUUAUUUAAAUAAACACACCUCCAACUCCACCCCAUCACCUUACAUUACAUACCCCACCAUUUUUUUCUUUUUAAAUAAUAAUCUUUUUAGUUAAGGCAGGGAUCAAACACGUAACAAAAAUAAAAAGUAGGGACCAAAUGCGUAACAAAAAUAAAUAAUAAGGACCUUACAAGUUAAAAAAAUAAAUUAGGGACCAAAUAAACAAAUUACUUUAAACCAUAGGGACCAUUCGUGUAAUUUACUGUAGAUUUUAACGGUGGUUGAUUAAAGUGAAAUAUUUAAAUAUAUUGUUUUCUUUUGUUCGGGGUUGUGGAAGAUGUCUUUUAGCAAAAAAUAGAUAGUGAAAGCAUUAUGUAUUUGAUCGGGUGCAUCUUUUCUUUCUUUCUUAUUUUCCUCUUUUCAUUGUAUAUUAUGAUACAUGUAUUUUCAUAGCUGACACAUACUUAUUGUUUUUUUUAAAUACAAUAUGGUUAGAUAACAAAUAACAAACCAUUUUAUAACUCUGCAUAUUUUUUUUAACAUAUAAUUGAAUGCUACUUGAUAUCAUUUAUGUUGUUAUUUGGUUGCAGGCUACUAAUUAAUACAUGAAAUAUAAUUAAAGAAUUAACAAAUGAUAUCAACCUACAGUUGGAGUUUUAUUACUAUCUUUUAAGGCAAUUGGUUGAUUUGUAUUUUGUUAAUUAAAGCAUUUCAUAUAUUCAAGACAAAACUUCAAAAAUGGUCCAUGUGGUUUCCAGAAAUAUCAAGUUUAAUCCCUAAGUUCAAAAAACCUCAUAGAUAGUCCCCGUGGUUUCAAAACUUUUAACAUUUGGUCCUUCCGGCUCACUCUGUUACCAUUUAGCCGUUAAGUAAGGGGUAUUUUUGUCAUUUCACUACACAGGGACUAUUUUUGAAGAUUUGCCUUAUUUAAAAAAAAGAAAAAUAUAUAAUUAUUUAAUAUUAAUGGGUCCCACCUCUCUCUCUCUCUCUCUCUCUCUCUCUUACACAAACGCACACACAUACACACACAGGACCAUAGUCCUUCCUUUUGAGAAACUUCACAUCUCAACAUUUACUCCUCUGCUACUUCUCUAGUUCUCUCAUCUCUCAUCUCUCUCUCUCUCUCUCUCUCUCUCUCUAUAUAUAUAUAUAUANNNNNNNNNNNNNNNNNNNNNNNNNNNNNNNNNNNNNNNNNNNNNNNNNNNNNNNNNNNNNNNNNNNNNNNNNNNNGUGUGUGUGUGUGAAGGUUUUACGUAUUGAUCCACAUAAAAAGGUCGUGUUUAUAAAAAAGGUGUUACAAGUCUGAAAAAGGAGGAGAAGCGGUGGAGGCAGGUAUCGCCACCGUGAAACUGUUAUGUCUCCGGUGAUGGAGAAGCCGAAGGAGGAGAGUAUGAGAUCCGAAUGCAGAUCUGAUGUGAUUAAGAGCUAUAACAACUGUAAGAGUUACAAGUCUGACAAGCUUUUAGAGUUGCUGAGGAUGUCGGAGUUGUAUGAGGAGGAGGAGGAAGAAGCGGCGAAGAAGAAGGUGGAAGUGUUGGAGGAGUUAAAGCGGGUAGUAAAGGGGUUACAGUGCGACAGAGAUUUCAACUGUGAAGAGCUUAAGCCUAACCCAAUUAUUUACAAAAUAGAAGCAUUUAUGCAUUUCUCUUAUUAACAAAAGCUUGUUUGUUAAUCUCCUCAAUUUCAUACCUUCAUCCCUGCAUAUUCCCCUGUUAUCUGCUGGAUUUCAUAUACUAAGGUAUGGAUGAAUCAUUUUGCAUUCAUUCAUUAUAAAUUAUCAACCGAGCUACGCACAUUGCCCUAUUCCACCAGCUUUUCCUUUGUUAUAUCCAACUUCAUUCCACACCACUAUUAUACUUGACACUAAACCAGUCUAUAAUGUUGAUCUGGGAAUUAUAACCAUUAUACUUAGGAAAGGAGAAAAGAACGACCAUAGAGUUCAUCACCUAUCGAAUUUGUAUUCAUAAUAAAAAGGGCCCAUGGAAAUCUGUUUCAGAUCAAAUAAAAGAAUGGAAUCCGGCGGCGAUUUAAAGAAAGGGGUGGAAGAAUGGUGAUGGUAGUAGGAAGUAGGAACGGUGGAGAGAGAGAGAGAUGUGGGACCCAUUAAUAUUAAAUAAUUAUAUAUAUAUAUAUUUUAAAUAAGGCAAAUCUUUAAAAAUAGUCUCUGGGUAGUGAAAUGACAAAAAUACCCCUUACUUAACGGUGAAAUGCUAACGGAGUGAGCCGGAAGGACCAAAUGUUAAAAGUGUUGAAACCACAGGGACUAUCUAUGAGGUUUUUUGAACUUAGGGAUUAAACUUGAUAUUUCUGGAAACCAUAGGGACCAUUUUUGAAGUUUUGUCUAUAUUAAACUAGAAAGGUUACCCCCGCUACGUGGGGGCCAAAAGUUUUCAAUGUUGUUUCCGAAUCGAUAAAUAUGACAGACGUAGAAAGUGAAAGAAUGAAAAGCCCGGGCUUUGCCCCGGACCGUUUUUUUUCAUGUUUUUACGAAAAAAUGUAAAAGUUUUGACUGCAAGGAUCAGAAGUGUCAAAACGGAUAGAGAAUUAAAGAUGUAGGAAUUAACAAAUUUUUAGAAAAGGAAUCAAAGUUGUCAAACCAUUAAAGUUUUGUGGCAAAACUUUAAAUAUUAAAAGAUUUCUAAAAACUGUAAAAAUAUUGAUUGCAAGGAUCAAAAUUGUUAAAAUAAGUAAAAAAUAAGGAGCAAAGUGUAAGGACCAAUUUUACCAAAAAAAAUGGUAAGUUUACUAUUCCUUUUAUUGAGAGCUUUAAUAUAUAUAUAUAUAAUAAUAANNNNNNNNNNNNNNNNNNNNNNNNNNNNUAUAUAUAAAAUAAUUGUGUUUUGUUUGUUAUUUAAUUUUACAUAUGGUGUUUUACGUGUUUUUCUUUUACUUGAUUAUUUGUUUGAUCCAAUACACUCAGCUUGAUAUUCUUUUAUUUUUCUCAUACCUACAAAUUAAUUGCAUUCAUUCAUAAUUAUAUACAUUCUGCAAUGAUCAAGUGCAUUUUGGAAAUUGAUGCUUGAAUAAUAGACCGUAUAAUUUAAAGUGAUUCUUAGCAACAAUAUUCUAUCAAAACAUAUUAGUAUUUUUGUUAAAUUUUGAUACUUUUUAUUUCUAAUUCUUAGUUUUAUUAUUUAAGAAUAAAUGUUAGACAAAAUUGCAAGAAUGGUCCCUGUGGUAUGUCCAAAAUUGCUACUUUGGGCCAAACAGGUUUUGACUAGCGUUCUUGGUCCAAAGGUUUUCAUUUUGUUGCAAGUUUGGUCUAAUUUGUUUAAAAAGUAUUUAAAAUGACAAAUUUGCCCUUUGGUACUUUCUUUUUCUAUUUUUUAUUUAUUUAAAUGUUUUUCUAAUUAAAAAAGAAAAAUACAAAAGACUCUCCCUCCCCCUCUCUCUCUCUCUCUCAGAGUAAUUUUCACAUAGAAAAAAUACCACCACAACCACCACCGGCCAGAGUUAUAAACGUCACCAUGACCACCGAUCAGUACCACCACCGCCUUUAGUCACACCGUCGAUCUAGGUUACAUCUCGCGACCACCGCUAAAGAAUCAGAAAGGCGUCGUCAUCUUCCUCAACAAACACAUUUCACGUCACCUUCUUAGGCGACCAUCUUCUUCAACAAACCCAUAUUCGUCAAUAAACCCCUCGAUUCCCACGACGAUCUGAUGGUGUUGCAGAUCUAUAAAGAGGGAGGCCACGAGGCGACGACGAUUUCAAGAUGAAUAGAGCAUAAGAACGGCGAUACUGAGGAACAUGGCCACACCAUUGUUCGACAAAAGUGAGCUUACCGGAUCUGAAGUUCGACGAAUAGAUGAAACGUCGGAGAUGGGAAGAAACGAAGGUGGCGGCCAUCCCCCUCAAUUUCCAGUCGCAAAACGCCCCAUAUGAAAACCCUAGCCGCCGCCAUCACAAACCCUAAGCUGUUAUAAAGUCGUUUGGGAGGGAGGACGAUAGAUCGUUAGCGUUGCCGGAGAAGGACCAAGAUGAAGUGGUGGCGCUAGGGUUUGCUAUAACAGGCAGCUCCGACGAUUGAUUUUCUGCUCCAACGAAGGUCUCUGACAGUGGGUUUUCAUCACCAACGAAGGUUUCGUCUUUUUUGGUGGUGUUGGUGGCGUUCAUCUUUUCUGGUGGUGACGGUGGCGUUCAUCUUUUCCGGCGAUGGUGUUCAUGCUUUCCGGUGAGGGUGAGGGUUGGGGGAAGGAGUGAGGGUGGUGGCGUUCUCUUAACUGGAGAGAGAGAGAGAGAGAGAGAGAGAGAGAGAGAGAGAUUCAUUUAUUUAUGUUUUUUUAGUUAGAAAAUAUUUAAAUAACAAAAAGAAAAGCAAAAAACAAAUAGAAAAGGGCAAAUCCGUCAUUUUAAGAUUUUUAAAGCUGUUUUCGACCAAAACCUCAACAAAAUGAAAACUUUUGGACCAUUGGUGCUAGUCCAAACCCGUUUGGCCCAAAGUGGCAAUUUUGGACAUACCACAGGGACCAUUCUUGCAAUUUUAUCUAAAUGUUAUUAUUUAAACAUUAUUAGUUGUAUUCUUUCAGAAUUAAUGCAAUUUUUGUCUAUAGCUGUAUUCUUUAAGAAUAAAUGUAAUUUUUAAUAAUUAUUUAUCGUAUUUUUAAUCAUUAUUGGUCGUAUUAUUUUUUUCAUAUAAAUUGCUAUUCUUGAUUCUUAUAACAAAUAUUCUUUCACAAAGAAAAAGAUUUCAUAUUUAUAAAUGUAUUACGUCAAAAUAUUCUUUCAUAAAAAUAUUUAUAAACAUAUUAGGUUAGAUAGUUAGUUAGAAUACAAUAAUUAUUCUGUCAGAAAUAUAUAUAUAUCCUGACAUUCUUAUGGAUAAUUAUUCUUAUAGAAUGUCAUUCUGACAGAAUAAAAUCAGAUAUAAUUAAAAAUUACGUUAGAAUUAAAAUUGAAUUAAUUAAUAAUCAGAAUUUUUAAAUCAAGAGAAUUAAUUGUCUUUAAAAAUAUAAAAUUUUCUUUUUUUAAAUUUAUCUCAGUUGACUAAAAUGCCCUUAGUGAAAUUAGAUGAUAUUUUUUAAUUAUUUUUAAUUCAAUAAUAUUCAUUGAUCACUUUCUUAAAAUAACUAAAAUGAUUGGUCAAGAAUCAACCAUACAUCCACAUAAUAGAUAGUUAAAAUACAAUAACCUAGCCAUAUAUGUAUAUAUAUAUAUAUAANNNNNNNNNNNNNNNNNNNNNNNNNNNNNNNNNNNNNNNNNNNNNNNNNNNNNNNNNNNNNNNNNNNNNNUAUAUAUAAAAGUUUAGGUUAUUUUGUUUUUACUAACUAUUGUGUGUCAUAAUGCACAGAUCUGAACCAACGGAUGAAAUUAAUCAAUGGAUAUAAUUUGAGGGUGUAUGUUAUUACAAAGAGAUAACAUGUACCAUAUAAUCACACAAAUUUUAGCAAAAUGGUAUUUUGGACAAUUAACUACAUUUAUAAAAAGAAAUUUUCGGAUUUUUAGGGAUGAUUAAUUCUCAUAAUUUUAAAAAUCUGAUUUUUUUUAAUUAAUUCAAUCUUAAUUCUAACGUAGUUUGUAUACAUAACCGAUUUUAUUCUGUCAGAUUUUUUUUUUGUUAGAAUGAUGUUCUUUCAGAAUUUUAUUCUAUUAGAAUAUUUUUGAAUAAUAACAACAUUGUGUUAUAUGUAUGUUAUGUGUUGUAUAGACCGGACCGGAGAGUCCAACGAUAUAGACCGGACUAGAGGGUCCAACGAGCUAUGACCGGACAGGAGGGUCCAAUGAGCUACGGGACUGGAGGGUCCCGUUCAGACACUUCGAUCGGAGGGUCGUACUAUAACCUCGAGUGGCGUAUGUGUUGUAUGUGGUAUUUGGGGGAACUCACUAAGCUUCGUGCUUAUUGUGUUAUGUGUUAUGUGUUUCAGGUUUUAUCAGGAUCGCGGGACGGCACUGGCUUGAUUGUACACACCAGAGAAAGAGUUACGUUUUGAGGAUCCUGGAUUAUUAUUUAAUUAAAUAUAGAGUUAUGUGUUGUAAUUUACACAAAAUGAGAUUUUUAUGAAAAGUGUUACAAGAAUUAAGUGAUUUUAAAUGAAAAUUUUGUUUUGAGAAAUUACGGUGUUACAAGGCAAGUCUACGUAUAAGACUCACGACGUGAGCUUGAAAACUCACGACGUGAAAAGUUAAAUCACCACUUUUCAGGCCUAGAAUGCAAAAGGCAUGUCUACGUGUAAGACUCACGAUGUGAGCUUGAAAACUCACGACGUGAAGAGUCAAAUCACCACUUUUCAGGCCUAGAAUGCAGAAGGCAAGUCUACGUAUAAGACUCACGACGUGAGCUUGAAAACUCACGACGUGAAGAGUUAAAUCACCACUUUUCAGGCCUAGAAUGUAGAAGGCAAGUCUUCAGGAUGAUCAUGAUCAAACUCACGAUGUGAGCCAUGAAUGCUCGCGACGUGAGAGUCGAGAUUUCAGACUAUAAAUAGAAGGUGAAGCCUUCUGGAUUUGGUUGCUAUUUCUCAAACCUCUCUCCUCUCUUAAACUCUCUCCAACCACACUUCAAUACCCCGAAGUCCUGUAACUUAUCUAACACCCGAAGGAAGCCCGGAGCCCAGAAGUUCUCGAGGAAAUAACCUUUUCCAGUUGAAACUCUGCCCGCGUAAAGCCCGGUUUUUCAUCAGAAACUCACGGAUUCGUCCAGAAAAAUUACUCCUAGAAACGAAACGUUGCCCGAAUCACCACUCGUCAAGUGAGUUCAUACCCCUACACUUUUCCAAACUUUUUAUAUGUUUUAUAGGGGGAAUACAAGUAUAACACAAGAAAACUUGUGUUAAAAUACAAACAAUUGAUUAUGUUUCUUAUAUUUUAUGUAUUUAAUACGCGAAACAAUAUUAUUAUCAAAUGUGCGGAUAUUUACAAACAACACAUGUUAAAAUAACACGAUUAUCAUUUUAACGUAAUAUACAUUUUAAACUAUAAUAGCUAUAGUCCGGAUAAUAUUGAUACAUUUUUAACCCUUUUCGGGAUAUAACAACGUUUAUAUAAAAAUACGAUUAUUUUUAUGUUUUAUAAAUAUUAUGAAAGGGUUAACAAUUUCGGAUAGAAAAGCGAUAUGAAAACAAGCAUAUAAAUUAUAAUAAGUAUAAUUUAUGAGUAAAUCCACUCUUUCUAUCGUAAAAAGAUAUAAAUAAAAACUUGUAUUUUUAUUUACUAAAAGGUUUUUCACCGUAUUACUCGUGAACUCGUUGUUAGCAGUAUAUUUGUGAGACAAUGACUUUGUAUAGUAUCCAACGAAAGUCCCCACUUAUAACCAGAGUCUCCUGGAGGGAGAGCAUGAAUUUGUGUAUAGAUCUAUAUGGGACUGACGAUCCUGCACCCUGACUGUUAGCUACAGUCCCCGGGGUGACAAAUGUCAACAUCGAUAUUGACGUCUAGUAAGGUUAUAAGAACUCGCAUGCGGAAACAAUGACUCAUGCACGUAGUAAUAUGCUUCUUAAAUAAACUUAAGGAGUAGAAUCUUUAUGGUUACUUUUUAUAUAACUCAUUUGUACUAAGUAAUCAUAAUAGGUUAUUAUUAUCACAUUUAGAAUCUAGAGUAAACACAUUUUCAACUAGUUUUAUUUGAUAAUAAAACUACAAGUUAUUCAAGCUAAGUAUAACAUAUUUAAUUACACUUUUCGGUCUUGAUUCAUAUUAGACUACAACUCAACUCAUGGAAAAUAUAGGAUUUUUCGGGAUAAACAUCUUCAUUUUACAAGUAAACGAUUUAUAAUUUAACUUUCUGGAAUCAAAUACAAUUAUUUAUUUCAAAGCGUCAUUCUUUAAGUAAAAGAACUUAUACAAUUUUUGUCUUAAGGUACUAAGACUACAUGCCGUUCAACUAAUAAGAAAAUAUAGGAUUUUCUGGAGAAACAUUAUAACACUUUCAAAGGAUAAAGAACGUACUUUUUGAACACAAAAAUGCUUAUGAACUCACCAACUUAAAUGUUGAUACACUUUCCAAGUUACUUGUAUUAUCAGGAAACUAGUAGACAAGUACUUUCUCAGGUGUUUUGAAGUCGGAGCAUAGUAGUAUCACGUCCUAUCUUUUGCUAUAAUUUUAAUAUAAAUCAUGUAAUGUUUUGAACUCAAUGUAAAUUAUAUAUAUUAUUAAUACAAUGGUUGUUGUUACUUUGAUUACUGUUAUACAUUUGUUGUGAUACUGUACAUGACGUCCUCCGCCGCUGAACGUUUCCGCCGUUCCGGUUUGGGGGUGUGACAGAUUGGUAUCAGAGCAUUGUUUAUAGUGAACUCAAUAUAUUAACCCAUAAAAGAUAUACAACUAUAAUUAUAAUGAGGCCUAAGUGCUCUGAAUAAAAGUAUACCUAUAAGUAUUCUUAUAAAAGUAUACAUACAUACUAGAACAAGUAUCACAAGAAGAACAAAACAAAAGUAUUUAAAUGUUGGACACUAUGGUCAAACCUGGACGGUUAUGUAAUCAUAUCUGGGAUAAAUAUAGCCUGAUCAACUAUAUUUAUUUGAGAUACGACCAACAUGUGUUUAGGAGUGAUGGUAGUGUUGCAACAGGCUUAAAACUUACCAAACCCUAUAUACAAAGAAGUUCUAGAAUCAAACGUACAAUUAAAAUACUACAGGAGUAUUUUAAAAACAAUAAAUAACUUAUGUCAAAAUUAAAGUAGGUCUGUAAUUACUAAGCGGAUACGUUGAGGUUAGUAUGCACUACGUAAUUAUGGAAGUAUCUGAUGAAGAUCACUCCCUUAUAAAUAUCAGUAGGUAAUACGUCUAUUAUAUGUUUCUUACACCCAUAUUCUUGCGUAAAUAUCAUGGUGCGAUUUCAUCCACCUGGAGGUCCGUACUUCCCUAACCAAGGGAAUGGAGGUUGGCUUGAGGCCGAACCGGAAGAAGAAUUCGAGGAAGAAAUGCAAGAAGACUCCGACUCAGAAACCGAAGUCAAUGACCUACCCUUAAUGGCUCCGAUCCAAAAUCCUAAUCCUCGACCAGGAUUUCAAGGCCCAACACCUAUGUGGGUAGUGAACCUGAAUAGGUGGAGUCACGAACAGGGUCAACCCCCUCCGUACAAUGGAGACUGAAGCUUCUACAAUCUGAGCGAGGGAGGCUCAGCAGAAAGAGUCCUUCCUAUACUUGUUUUCCAGGUUGUUCGCAAUGAUGAGCAAGGAAGGGAAGCUAUACAACGAACCAUGGAGAAUGAUGCGAACACCGGAGUCAAUACAGUUCGCAUCCGAUAGUUAGAAUCAGCUCAUGGAAGAACCAUAAAUCACAAUGAAACUCUUUAGAGAAAGCUAACUGCAACUCAAUCUGAAGUCAGAGAACUUCGAGCACGCCAGGAAAUGUAUGAAAGGCGUAUGCUCGAGAUGGAGUGUCAGGUGGUAGAACCAAAGGCUGAUCCGAGCAGUUCCCGUCGCAAGUAGAGGACACUUUACUCGCUCCUUCUUUUGGUUUAGGGACGUUUGUAUAUACUCUAAGUAGUACUCUUUUCAUGUAAAUAUUAUUGGAUUAGUGUCUAAGUCCAUAACUAUAUUUGGUAUGUACUUGACCCGACUUGGCAUGGUCUAUUUGGGUUGCAUGACAUCGGGACAAUUGGAUAGACAAGAUGAGGAAAAAAAGGAUACAAGUGAUAUAUAUUAAUAUAUUAUAAGUUCUAAUAUAUUAAUAUAUAAUCAUAAUAUUUAAUUAGUUUUGAUUAAUGAUUAAUUUAUAAUUAAUUAAGUGAUUAAAAGGAACUAAUUAAAUAUGGACUCUUAGNUAUAUAUAUAUUUGUGUGUGUGUGUGUGUGUCGUGGGCCAAGUUCAUUUAGGUUGGGCUAAGCUUUCAUGGAUAGUCCAUGGAACUUUAACCCAUGGAUCCUAUGGAAAUGAAAGGUCAUGGGUAUUAGGGUUUAACCCUAAUCCUCCACACUAUAUAAAGAGUCCAAUGGUGCAUAAAAUUAGUGCAAAGAAGAUGACUAGUUCAUAGUAGUGAGGGCAUAACUGAUUUUAUGAGAUGUAAACCAAGUAUCCUUUAUUCCUUAGUUAUUUCAAAUGUUCAUGGUGUUGUGUGAACAAUUUGAGGUGUCACACUUGGGGCACUCGACUCUUAAGCAUCAAGGAAUCAAGCUACAUAAAAAGGUAUGUCUUCUAACUUGUUUUAUUACCCAAGUAUCAAAGUUUGUAUGCUAGAUAGGGUAAUACCUUGGAAUAUUCAUAUUUGCAUAUAUAAUAGAGAAAACAUAGAUCCAAGGUAUUUAGGAUUGCAUGUACACCAUAAGAGUGUUAGAAUGCUCAAAACCCAACAGUGUUAUUAGAGGCUAGGCUCGUUUUCGAUGAUACUUGAUGCAAAUUGCUGAAAAAGCUGAAAAAAAUCGAUUUUCUGGCUGUCUGGGCAUUGGACUCGCCGAGUCCACUGAUGAACUCGCCGAGUCCACUGAUGAACUCGCCGAGUCCAUGAAGAAAAUCAUCCUACUCGCCGAGUAGGUUCAUACACUCGACGAGUAGGAGCCCUAGACAACAUAUUUUCGAGUUUUUUGGCUGGAAUUGGAUUAAGAAGAUUACCCUAAGCUGUUUUUCAACUUAUAAACCUGUUUUUUGAUGUGGUAAUGUUCAUGCUAAUCCAAUUUCAAAGAUAAUUGUCAUUAGAUUCAUGUUUUGUAUUAGUUUAAUGAAUAGGGUAAUUACAUGAAAAAGUUUGAUUGAAGUAUCUUGUUCUUAUGAGGUGCUUAAAUUAAUAGGAAUGUUAUGUGAAAUUGUAGUUUUCAAUCCAAAUUAAUCUAAGAGUUGAUUCUAAAAUGUGUUUUUGAAACUUGUCCUCAAGUUAUAUGAAAAGUCACAUUGAAGAUUCAUAAAACGCAUAAAUAUUUCCAUAGGUUAUGAAUAAAGAAAAGUCAUAUUCUUGUAAUAGUUUAAAGUCUUCCAUAACUUGUCCUCAAGUUAUGGAACUUGAAGAGUUUUUUGAAUUAAAACUACUUUAAACACAUAAGUUAUGGAAUUGAAAAGUUUUUGAAUAGUCCAAAACUUGCCCUCAAGUUUUGGAAUUUGAAAAGUUUUCUUUCAUGAAUACUUUAAUUCCAAAUUAAGCCCUUAGGAUUUUAAAAGUUAAAAUUCAAACCUUAUAUUUUAUAAUAUUAUAAGUUAAUAUAUAUAUAUAUAUAUAUAAGAGCAAGUCNUUAGUAGGCCUUAUUCACGAAGACGGCCUAUAAGGGGGGUAUAAGGUUACUGCCUAUAAAAUGGCAGCUUAAUGGGUGUCCACUCUCACCCACCGCUUCCUUGACUGGUGGAGGGUCGUUAGCCGAACGGGUAGUACAAGGACUAGAAUUCUCCCUUCAUUAAAAGUAUUAAUGAUAAAUACUAAGUAACUAAACUUUUAUAAAUUCCCAAUCUUAGUUACUUAGGAAAAUGUGAAUUUGGUGCUAACCCAUGAAAAUGAUGAAAUUACACUUUGCACUUUGCUUAAGUCGGUUAGUAGAGCGCGCGUGGUUAACCGGCACACUAUAUUGAUUUAACAAGGUAGGCAAAGGGUAAUUUAAUGUUUAUCAUAAUAUCGAUGGAGCGCAUGAGGUUAACCGGCAUAUCAGUUGAGUGAUAAACAUUUAAGAGUACCAAGUAAUUUGCAUGGUUACUUCACACCUUGUUUUGUGAUGCUCGGCAUCCCAGUCACAAAACCUGAAGGGAAAAAUCGAGAUUGAAACAUGUCAUUGAAAAGUUUAAUGAAUCUCAAAAGAAUCUAAGAGUUUCAAAAACCAAUUAAAACCUAAUAAAUUAUUUCGUUUUUUCAUGGUGGAAAUUGGUGAAUCGUCAUUCACCUACCUUCAAAUAUUUUAUAGCCUGGAUUACGACAGCCCUCUUCCAAGUUAUAAAAUAUUGUAUUGGGUCCUAGCCUUAAUAUUUCAUAUUGGGUGUUAUAUUAAGGAUUUAAAUCAACUAUCUUGAAUAUCUCCCAAAAGAUGUCUGGUUCAAACAUCUAUGAUCUUCCUAAAUCUCUUGGACUUCACUUCCUCCACCUCCUCCAGUUAUUCUCCGUAACCCACAAGUUCAAGGUCACUCAAGCCCUAUUAGCAAGCAAGGUCUAUGUGUGAUCACAUCUUGGAGAUGAAGUCACAUAUUGACAAGCCGGGAGAGUUGGGUGUCAAAGUUUUAAGAAAGUUGGAUGUUCAAUCACUUUCUAAGUCACAUAGUGAGUUCCUUUGGGACUACUAUGAAACAUACUAUGACAUGAACCUUAAUGAUCUUAUCUAUUUGCUUUGUGCUGCUGAAUCAACAAUGAUUUGGAGCACUGGUAGAGCAAAUUUGAUUAGAAGAUCAACUUCCCAAACUUUCAUGGACUUUGAAAAUGGUAACAUUAGAUAUCCAGAAAAGCUUUUUCUUCCCAAUGGAAAGGGAUUGGCCAUAGUCAAAUCAGUUGACCAAAUGGUAAAGAAAAAUGCUAAGUCUGAGAUAGUCCUGUGUUUCAUUCCCAAAGGGUCCAUAUGGUUCUAUUGCCAAUGGAAGGGGCAUUGAUUGCAAAGCUGCCUAUUUACCUGAAAGAUCAUCAAGUCAAGAAGUUUGACUCUACUUCAGGUAAAAGUCCACUAUCUAACUCUGGUAAGUUUCUAUUCUAAGAUUCUCAUUACAUGAUGUGACUGGGUCACAUGUUGAUGUUUUAAGAAUCAAAGAAAAGUGAAGAAACUUAAAGGAAGUAUAGGCUGAUUCUGAUCGCGAAGAUGGAUUUCGAUCGCAUGGUUCGGUGAUCAGAAUUUUGAGCUGUUGCUUAGGAGUUAUGAUAUAUUUCUUAGGAAUAGAUAACAACAAAGUCUUUCAUAUGCUUUUGCACUGUAAGGAUAAGAUUUUCUGCAAAGUUUUUAAAAAAUAAAAGGAAAUUUUUUGUUUCAUUUAUUCUAAGUAUCCUUACAAUGACAUUUGUGAAAAAUUGUUGCUUAUAUUAUUUCGUUGAUAGAAAUAUUGGAAAAUGGAUUUGUUUCUUUCAUUUGUGGUAAUGUCUAAAUUUACCAAAUAAGGAAAGAUUCUCAUCACCCAAGGUUUCAGUUGGAUAGAAACUUGGAAAUCAUGCAAGUUGUAUAGCAUGACGAAUGAGAUUUUUUAUCUUUGGAAAAUUAAGAUUAAUUCCUUGUUCACAUGUAUAUGUGAGUCAAGUGAAGGACUAAGGGAUCGAGUACACAUUCUUGUACACUGAUCAAGUCCACCACAAAAGAUCGAUAAGACUAUUCGUCAUGAUUUACUAAAGUUUUGUAAAUAUGGUUAUGCUUACAAGUUUAAGUAUAAUUCUGAAACAUUGGAAAAGUUUCGAUGUAUAGUAGAACGAAUGAGAAGAAUCAAAUUAGGCAGAAAUAUAAAAGUAUCUCAAAUCUGAAAAGAUGAGAGAGUACUUUAGUAUCAGAUUUUGUGAUCAUCUAAAUGAUUUGGAAAUCAUAUCACAAUUAGUCAUCUAAGGAAAUCUUAGUGUACUCUUAUGACUAAGAAGAGGACUCUUGAAUUGUUGGAAUGGUUAAACCAAGAAGAUGAGUCAUACUUCCUUCCAAAACAAGUCUUAGAGUCAUACUCUAAGACUGUAAGUUGAGUGACAUAUCUUAAGGAAAGGUUUAAAACACUUGUCAAAUGUAAGAGUAAAAGUGUCCUACUCUUGUACAUUUGAAAUUGGUAAAUUGUGAUGUUUUGGAUAAAACAAAGACCACCUAAGGCCAAUUGUGUGAAGUGUUCAUCUUGAUAAAGAAUCCGCACUAUCUCUUGAAUAUUUGGCAAGAUAGUUUUAUAUGUCAAGAUGACAGUGAGAGUCUAAAAGAUUCUGAAAGUAUUUCAAGAUCUAAUCAAGAAUAAAACCUGUAGUUUCUCACUAGCUCACGACUUGAGGUUUAUAACCUAUCGUGUUGACAUAUUUCUAUUUCUAUGCCCAUUCCAGUUGAAGUUGGCUUUGCAUAUGAGUUCUGAGUGUUCUCAAUUGGUUGCAUAACAACUUGGAAGCAAUGACAGGCCCUUGUGCUGCCAGGUGACAAGAAGUUAAGACUGCACAAGUUCAAUCCAUAUGAGUUUGGAUUUGUCACUAACCUUGUCUUGUGAUUAUGGUUUUGACAAAUUCACUUGGAUAAGAACACAUACACCAUAAAAUCUAAGUGUCAUAAGGUUUCUUUCCGAUUCAUGAAAAUGAUGGUGAGGAAACGCUUUCACUAAGUAGAUUUUAGGUAGAUAGCAAGUGUGAUAUUUGCAUUCUCAAAGUCGUUAGUGGAGCGUGUGUGGUUAACCGACACACUAACAUGGACUUGUGAGGAAUGGCAAAGGUCUGAACAAUUGAGACUAUGAUUACGACAUCCCUUUUCAUAGUUUUGAAAUUGAUUAGAAACACAUGUGUGCUAUCUAAGGAAAGGUGUAUGAUCUUGAUAAAGUUUGAUCAAAGCAUCUCGUAUCAGAAAUUUGAACUUUGGUAAGAAAGUCAAUAAAGUAUUGACCUCUAGAAGUCCAGCUGUUUUCUGAUAAAUGUCAAAGCUAGUAGGAGUAUAAGUGUUAUGUUAAUAAUCAUCAUGUUAGUGGGAGCAUGAUAAUUAUUAUUAGUAUUGCAAGAUAGCAAUAUUAAUUAUAGAAAACAAAAGUUUCAAUUCGUGAAGUUGCAGGGGUUGAAAAGUUGUUUUGCUAUAAUUAAGGGAGAAAAAAUUAUACUUCAUUUCAAUUCUAAAAGCUUAGAUUGAGGUUUUAAUCAUCUUUACUCAAGGAUAUAUAUGAAUUUUGUGUUGUAAUGGCUCAACAUAAGGAAAUUCUAUAUAUGGGUCCAUUAUUUGCGUUCUAAAAUUCGAUUAUGAUUACGACAUCCCUUUUCAUAAUCUGAAUUAUAACAACUUGGCAAAUAGAAAUAUUAUAGCAAAAGGACUGGUCUAGUAUCAUGUGUUUAUGUGAGACAUCAUGAAUCGUGUCCCAUAUGCUUCAGAUAUAGGAUCGAUUGCAUGUGCUAUAAUAUUCAUCCUUUCUAAAUUUUUCCAAAUGCCUAGAGCAUUAAAAGGGAAAAGUACUAGAAUUGGAUAUGACUAAUUUGAUUAAGCAAUUGCUAAGGACAAUCUAAGGUUUACCAAAGAUUGGUUGCUCAAGGACAAUUGGAAGUAUGGUGUUAAUUUUGGAGAGGACCUUAUUGACAUAUUCUGAAAAGAGGCAACUCUUGUUCAGAAGUGAUAGUCAAAAUGAGAGUAUGGAAAUAUUCCCAUAGGUGGAAGUUGUUCAUUAAAUUUGUCUAAGAUUAGGAAAUUAAUGCAAGAAGGAUGUUCAAAGCAAUGUGCUUUGAAUUUGAGAUUUCACUUCCAUGGAGUUGAUCUCCAUUGGAAUACUAUGUAAUGUCUGUUGACAAGUCUUGGUGACUCUGUGCACAAUCAUUACAAGNAAUGCAUAUAAGUUUAGAAUCUAACAGAUUUAGGUAAAUGGUAGGAAUUUGGAAUUCUUGCAUUUGCGGUAAGGAUUUGGGAUUGUGAAAUGAGAAUCAUUGGAAUUAUGUUCAAUCGAUCUAUUUCACAAAGUAAAGAUCAUAGACAAACUUAGUGUGCAUACUUGGUGUAUGGCAUAACUAAUGUUUGGAAAAACAUAGUGUGCAUAAUUGGUGUUAUGCAUGACUAGUGUUUAGAAAACAUAGUGUACAUGCUUGGAGCAUGGGACAACUAGUGUUUUAAUUCAAGUAUAAAGUUGAUAGUUUGAAACAGUAUGCAAUGAAUGAUGGGUAAUCAAUAUGGUGAUAAAUAAAAGGUGUGUUUAUUUAUAUUCAUAAGUUCUGAGACCAUAUUGGAUUCGAUUAUUCUUGUGUUUCACUUUGCAUGUUUUGACUUCCAGAAUAACUAGGUCAUUCCUCCUGAAUGACUAUUCAAACCAUCCACAAUCGGUCAUAUGUUGGAAGUAGACAUGAAUCAAGACUAUCAUGGGUUGGCUUGUAGAGGUCUAAUAUGUUGGACAAUGUGGUGCUAGAAUACUCAUGAGUGCUCAUAAGUUCUGAGUAUUCGAUUCAACCCAUGCUCAUUGGAAUCACUUCAUGGAUUUUAUCACGAGUGAUCAUGAGACGAUAAUAUCUUAUAUUCUUCAAACCUAGAGAUAUGAGUUGUUACUAUGAGUUGGUUAUACAUUGAUUGCAAAAAAAAAAACACAUUGGUAACUCGAUGUUAUAAAACGUGCCUUUGUGUAUGAUUCAACAAGUAGUAGAACAAGCCAUACGAGUCGAAGUUUAUUUGUGACAUCCCCAUUUUCAUGGCCAGAAAAGACUGAUUCUGUUUAUGAUUUAUAAAAAUCAGAGUACCUCUUUUUAAUAAAAAUGUGUGGAAUUUUUUUCCUAGUGAAACAUGAUAAAUUCGUUAUCAAAGCAUUUCCGAAUAAAUAUAUUUUUAUUCAUUUAAAACAUUGGGAUGUCAUCAUCAAUACAAAAACAUAAGCAUAAACAGAACUUACAUUCGUUAUCACUAGUGAUCUAUAUCUCCUUAAUCUCUCAGUAUAAUGUGACUUCAUAUCGACACCUAUGAUAUAAAUAAACUGAGUGGGUCGGGUUGGGAAACCUGGUGAGUACAUAGGGCUUUCAACCCACAAUAAUAUAAUUAUUAUGUUUAAUCAUCAAAUAGUUAACCCAAUUACCCAUCCCCAUUAUCUUCUUUAAUCUUAAGGAUCUACCCUAAGAAUAAACUAUUUCUCGUUCAUUCAUUCCUAAGGAUUUUCCUAAGGAAUAGGUACGAAGUCCAUCGUUGUCAAUGACACAGUUGUCAAGCACAACUGCUAGUUCUAUCACUUAGGCGCAACUUCCAGAAUUGUGACAUUCUCUAUAAGGCGCAUCUGCCAGUAUAAUCCUUUAGGUGCAUCUGCCGGGGGUAUGAGGUUCUCUAUUGGGUGCUUCUGCCGGUAGAGUCCUUUAGACGCUAAUGUCAAGGUUAUAAUGUUCUCUAUUAGGCGCAACUGUUGAUAUUAUCCUUAGAGCACAACUGCUAGGAUGUUUAUCGUAGAUCAACAACAUCUACAGGUUAUGGCGCAACUGCCAGUGCUCAUCUAUAGGGUACUAGGUCCAUUGCUGCCAAUGUUCACCUAUAGGGCACUAGGUCCAUACCACUAAUAUUCCUCUAUUUCAGCUUUCACCCCUCGUCCUUCAUCUACCCAUGUUUUAUCCAACAUAUUUUGUAGAUAUAAAAAUACAUAUAUAGUUUAAAACAUUUAAAACAUGUAUAAAAAUCUCUCACCCAACAGAGACAGCAAGUAUUCAGACAAUAUGCACACAUAGCACGUAAUUUAUAUUAAAUACGUCAUAUCUAUGUGUAAGAUGAAAUUAAUUAUGCACUCACCUGGUAAGGUGGUGAGUCGGCACUCAGACAACACUUCGUUACUCUUAAAACAAUUAUCCCUUGACGAAACCUAGUAUCAUUACCACUAGAGUUUAGUCAUACGUUUAACGAGACUAAUUUAAUAGUCUAGCUAUUAUUACUAUUAUAUAAGCGUUAAAAAAUACUUAUAUAACCCAUAAUAAUAGCCCAAAUACACCUUAUAAGGUCCUAAUAACAUUACUAUAUUGAAACAUAAGCUAUACUAAAGAUAGGGUAGGCAUAGCUCACUUACAGCGGGUUUUUUCGAAAAUCGGGCUUCGCCGGAGCAGCGUUCCCGAGCCGAAAGGCUCUUUUAUCGGGAAUUUGGGAGCCUCGGGGCUUCCUUAGGGUGCUAUGGGGUUUACCUAGGCUUUUAGGGGGGGGGGUUAGGGGGCUAGAGAGAGAGUCUAGAGAGAGAAAGAAUAGUUUGGGAAGGUGUGAAGAAUGAGGGAACCCGACACCUCUAUUUAUAGGCUGGAAAACAGAUCUAGUCGUUGAGUAGGUUCUCCUAUUCUUCAAGUCCAUGCCAGGUGUCACCCUCUGGUGGCUUGCCUUGGGGAGAAAGCCUUGGCCCUUAUUCAGCUACGUCACCCGAUUUCGCACAGCACCCUGCCGACUUCUAAACCCUGUAACUUUCGCAUACGAGCUCCGUUUUCGACGUUCUUUAUAUCCACGCAUAGGUAAAAACAAGAUCUACAACUUUCAUUUAGACUCUGUCGGCUAAGUCUCGGACGAUCUCAAAUUUAACAGUAGGAGGAGUUUAGACUGUUAAAUGACCGCGAAGAAUUCGUAAUUCCUUCAUACGGACUCCGUUUUCGUCUGUAUUUUUACCGUUGAGUUCCUAUUAAUGAGAUCUUCAACUCUCAUUUAGGUCGCGUAUGCCAAAAGCCGCUCGAGCUAAAAUUUGAGUUUUGGGCCGUGCACUGCUAAGCCGAAUCUUAGAAAAAUCAGAACUUCCUCAUACGAAGUCAGAUUUGGGUGUUAUUUUUAUGGAUGUUCUCGGUUUAACGUAUACUAUAACUUUGGUUUAGAUCACUAAGGCUAAAAAGUCCUCCAUCGUAAAUUCACUAUUUACGUCUCCCGGUGCCGUGCCGGUUUUGCCGUAAAACUUUGACGAGCCAUAACUUUUUCGUUAUAACUCGGAUUUCGGCGCUCUUUAUAUGUACAGAACCCUUAGAGACAUAUUCUACAACUUGGCUAAGAUUAUUUAUUCUAAAUCAUAUUUUGUUGAAAAGUCGUUUUUGACCCCUAUUAUCUCUAAAUUGACUAGCCCGGAUCUACGAGCGUUACAAUUAUCUCCCCCUUAGGAUGACUUCGUCCCGGAAUCAUCAAUGAAAUAGGGCUCACAUGAUGACUGCAUACGUUAUUUGUGACAACCCAAAGUUUAUUCCGUUACAUUACCCCGUUACAGUUAACGAAAUAUUCCAUUUUAUAUAAGUUCCGUUAAUUUGAGGUCGUAAAAUAAAUAAACGUUUUAUUUAUUUAUAUUCUAUGUCGUUAUUCGUCGUAAUAAAAUAAAGUAAAAGCGUAAUUUCCAUUUCCAUUUUAUUUUGGAGAAAGUUAAAUUCUAUUACGACCACUAAAUCGGGUGCGACCAAAAGCCUCGUUUAACGACAGUAUUGGGUAGUUUCCCAUUGAGCCUAAACUCCAACCACUAUAUAAGGGGGAAUGGACUUCAUUCCACCCCUUUUCACCCUCUCUCUAUACACUCUCUCAUAAAAGUCCGAUUUCGCCUAAAAUCCGCAACCAAACGCCUCCAAAUCGUAAGUUCUUGUACCCUAGCUUGUUUUACAACCCAUUGCAUGUCAUUAUAGCUCAAAAAUCGUCCUAGAAGGCAAGGAGUAAGGAGUUUACAGCCCAAGAACACUAUAGGGCCGUAAACCCCUAAAAUGAUGCCAAACUUGCCUUUAAACUCAUCCUUGAGGUUGGAAACUAAUUGGGGAUUUAGCCUAGGAGUGUUUGCACCUUAAAACAAUCAAUUUUGGGGCAUAAAAGAGGGUUUACGGCCCAGGCACAAGCUUAGGCCGUAAACACCCUCUAAACUUGUUAAAACAAGUUCCAAACACUCCCAAACCACCCUUAGGCUUAAGACAUAAAUUAGGGACUUGCUAUUUCGGGUUUGGAGCAAUUAAAAACAUAGAUUUGAAGGGUAAAAUGGAGUUUACGGCCCAAGCACAUGCUUAGGCAGUAAACACCCCCAAACCAUGUCAAAAGAUAGUUUUUGUCCCCCAAAUGGCCUUAGACCUUUAUUACAAAUUACUAGAAUUAAAACAAGGGCCUUAAACUUCCAUAAAAUCAAGGGGUAGGAGUUCACGGCCGUGAACUCCCAUAGGGGUGGUUCAUGGGCCGUAAACUCCCAUUUGGUCCCUUUAAAAGCCUUAAAUCCACUCAUACAUUUUAGAUUUGGACCUAGCAAAAUUCCACGAUCAAUAUAAGGCCUUUAAACAUCCUAGAACCCCCUCACCAUGAGUUUACGACCGUAAACUCAUGGGGAGUUGUCCCAGGGCCGUAAACACUAUAAGGAGAGUUUACUCUUGGAGAGUAAACUCCAUUCCUAAGCCAUUCACACCCUUAAAUGUUACCCGGGACACCCCAAACACUUAACCAAAGUGUUUUCCGCUCCUUAGAGUGCGUAUACUUGUUUAAUUAGUAUUAAAUGUACUAAUUGUAUGUGAACAUAUGUUAUCAUAUGUUAAAUAGGUCACUAAGUGUGUCCAAGUCUUUACUUGACACCGAGCACCCAACCGGCACCUUCGUCGGAUCCACUUACACCAGGUGAGUUCAUACCCCUGAAUGAACCUUUUAAAUGUUUUUACAUGUUUUAUAGGGGGGAAUACAAGUUAAACAUGCCAGUUAUCAUAUCAAUCACAUGUGAUUGAUAACCCGCAUGCACAAGGAUUUACCACACUGUAAACUGUUUUACCAAGUAGGAUACUAUAAAUGGUUUUCCAAAAGGUUUUCACUUGUUCAAAACUCUUACUUAUACUGUUUUAUCAAAGUUCAUUUUAAACUGGUUUAUGAAAAGUUUCCAAAGAAUUUCUAAAGGUUUUCAAACUUAUUUUACCAAAGAACACCAAGUUGUGAUUUUCUCAAGUAUAAAGGUUUUCUUCCAUGUUUUGAUACUCCCUCUUAGUUUAAACUCCUACUUGAUAACGCUUUCACUUCGUGAUGCGUUUAUACUUGUUAUUGCCUCUAUUUCGCUUAUACUUGUAGUCGCUUAUGCCUAUUAGACGCUCUUACUUCACUUGUUGUCGCUUCUACUUCGUGAUACACUUAUAUUUGGUAACGCUUAUACUUCACGAUUCGGUUAUUCCACACUGUACGUUUAUACAUCACGAUUCGGUUAUUCCACACUGUACGUUUAUACAUCACGAUUCGGUUAUUCCACACUGUACGUUUAUACAUCACGAUUCGGUUAUUCCACACUGUACGUUUAUACAUCACGAUUCGGUUAUUCUUCACUAUACGUUUAUACAUCACGAUUCGGUUAUACUACACGAUACGUUUCCACUUGUUACACACUCAGACGUAGUUAGAUGUAUGCCUGUGCUUGUAUAGGUGCAUAUAAAUAAUGAUUGAAGGACUUAGGAAGGCUUGUCCGCCCUAUUUCCUUUUCUUCGUUGAGAUGUGGUCUGGUGGGAUCGGAUGUCCGUCCGAAGGUCGUUUGAUUCAUUAGUUAUAUAUUAUGUAUACGAGCAUAGACAUAUAGGUUUGCACUAGUCAGUUCAGUUAUGAGUCUCUACCUCUAGUUCAACACUUAUAUUGGAAACACACUACCCACUAUUUGGGAUGCAUCUUCGGGACACGGCCUUCUCCGUCGUCUAGUUGGUAACCAGAGUCUCCUGUAGGGAGAGCGGACAUUGUGUGUAUAGAUCUAUACGGGAUUGACACCCCCGCACCCUGACUGCUAGCUACAGUCCACGGCCCACCAAGCCAAGGGGUGACAAAUGUCACAUUUUAUAGACGCUUGUAGGGCGUCUGGUACUCUAGUGUCGGUUAGUAUGGUUACGAGUAUCCCAGGUUACCUUAUAAUUCAUGGCCUUAAGGUAACGGUAUUUCACACUAUAUUUUACACUGUACUUUACACUGUAUGCUGAAAACCCACUCUCAGAGUCACACUGUUUUUAGACCUUGCUAGCUGUAUCUUUCAUUUGAUACUGUCUGGGGUCUGUAUUCUCUGUUUUAGACCUUACUAGCUGUAUCUUUCAUUUGAUACUGUCUGGGGUCUGUAUUCUCUGUUUUUAGACCUUGCUAGUUGUAUCUUUCAUUUGAUACUGUCUGGGGUCUGUAUUCUCUGUUUUUAGACCUUGCUAGCUGUACCUUUCAUUUGGUACCGUCUGGGGUCUGUGUCUCUCUUUGUUAGACUGAGCCAGGCGUGUCGUUUGUUCGAUACUCUCCUGGAGUCUAUGAUUCCUUUUGCCUUAGUCAGCAGUCCUCACUGCUGAGGCAUAUGUUAUUUUCCCUGAUUCCUCUUGCUUUCUUUAAUAAUCAAAUUCUGUAUUUUGAUAAUGAUAGCGAUUAAGGGAAAACUACUUUUUACCACAUAACUCCGUCCAGUCUUGGUAGAAGACUGCUUUUAUUAAAGAAAAUAUAGGAUUUUCUGGAAAAGACACUAAUGUAAUGGAUACUCUAAAACUACCACUUUUAUUAAAGUUAUUUGAAUAAAAUGACACUAAAUACUUAUGAACUCACCAGCAUUUGUAAAAAAUGCUGAUACUCGCUUUUCAAAUAACUUGUAUUCUCAGGUCAGCAUUAGACAGGUACAUUCCCGGAGCUUCUGACGAAGACAGUUUAGUACCAAGUUGUACCUGUAUAUUUACUUGUAUUACUUUAAUGUAUUGUAAUGUAAACCAUGUAAAACUACUACUAUUAAUGCAAUGGUUGUUGUACUUUGAUUACUAUAAUGCAUGUGUUGUGAUACUUGACAUGACGUCAUCCACCCCAGAACGUUUCCGCCGUUCCGGUUUUGGGGUGUGACAGAUUGGUAUCAGAGCAUUGUUUAUAGUGAGCUAAGUAUAUCAAUUCAUAAAAGAUAUACAACCUAUAAACACAAAGGGAUAAAACACUCUGACCAAGAAUUAUACUUUAAAAUAUAACCAUAUUUUACCAAAGUAUAAUAACAUCCAGAAUCUAAACACUCGAACAAAAGUAUCACAAGAAGAACAAUAAUAAAAGUCUUCGGAUGUUGAGCACUACAGUCAAACCUGGGCAGUUAUGUAAUCGUAAGCUGGGAUAAAUGUAACCUGAUCAACUACAUUUAUCCGAGAUGCGAUGAACGUGUGCUCGGGAGUGAUAGUGGUGUGCAGCAGGUCUGAAACUUACCAACUAGGAAUGCUAGAGCCAAACAUAAAGUUAAAAUACUAUAGGAGUAUUUUGGAACACUAAAAGAUUCACACUAAUCCCAGAAUCAUAUUCAGAAGAUAAGAAUCAAACAAGAAUUAAAAUACCAUAGGGGUAUUUUAGGAUCCAUAAACAACCUUGCGUGAAGAACUAAAAAGAUCCUUAUUGAUAUACCUACAACUACAGAGGGUGUACUCCCAAGGUUAUAUAUAAUAAGGAUCCCAUAGGCUAAGAAUGUGUGGUUUCGCUCUACUUCCUUUUCCUCGUUGGGAUGUGGAUAUAGAGUAGUAUCACAUAUUCGAAGGCCUAUCGGAUCUAAGCUAUAUAUGAUUUGUAUACCCUGUGUAAUCGUAGCAGGACUCGAUAUGGAUCAUACAGUGAAAUGUUAAUAAUCUCUUAGGAUUCUUUAGACAUUUCCAUUCUCGCACGAACCCUGUAGAAAACCCUAUCCACUUCAGUGCUUGACAGAAGAGUUGAUGCAGACCCAAAAGAGGUUCAUUGAGAAGAUUUCCUGUUCGGAAAUAAAUGAACUGGGUCGAGACUAUUGAAUUCACCAAGUGCCUAUAUCUUUUUAGGGACAUCGGUGAGAAAUUCGCCUAAACUUCCGAGAUUCCCAGUCAUCCAUCAUGAAGUGAUGACACCCGGAGUCGGAUUCGGGAGUAAGGUGGAGUAGAAAUUCAAUGUGUCUUCAUGAGAAAAGAACCCUAGGUAACUACCCGAAGGAAACCAACGCCGAUUCCAAUCAAAGAUACGAGGCAGACAGAGGGAGCCAGUACAUGGAACCCAAGAAGUGUCUUACCCUCGUGUUCGUCACGCUAAUACACCCUUAAAAUAAUACAAUUUAGUGAGUUAGUGGUUACACUACUCACGCUAUGUGUUAGGUAAAUCGUCGUUUCCCGUUGCCAGUUACACGAUUAGAGCGGAUCCCCGCACCUCUAUUGAGAGUAUUUAGCCAUAAGCCUUCAUGAGCCUCUCUUUCCGCGGUUUCGUUCCGAACUGUUCUCAAAUCUCUCCAGGCCGAAGAGUGAAACCUUUCCCAGUAUAAAGGUAACGUAGUAGGAACGACUCGCAUCUUAUGGCCUUUUUCCGAUACUCAUACACCUACCUUGAUUUCCAGGACUACAUCAUAGGGAUGUAGGUCGACACUCCGACAACCAGUACCCGAGGCACGUAAAAAAAAUUUAUGCAUAAUACAGUCAGGACAGAUAUGUCCAGGGCUAGCCAUCGUCUCUCAUUCCUCUCCGUGUAGAAAACCAUGCCACCGAAGAAGCGUAACCAGUCCACAAGCAAGAAACCUACUCUCUUAUUCGAUGAAGCUACGUUCCAAGCUGCAGUCUCGGCAGCCGUAGCAGCUGUCAUGGCUCACCUGAAUGCUAACAACGCUAAUGUUAGCAAGGGACUUAUCGGGAUUUCCGAUCCUAGAAAUGGACAGCAACAACCAACCCCUGCAUACCUAGCCACCCAAGAACCUCAAUCGGAUCCACUAAAGAGAAAACUCAAGAUCGAGGAGGGAGGUACCUCGGCUCAAGGACCUUCCGAAGGGCAGCAAGCUAAGGCAGUCAAUACCCCUGUCAAUCCUCCCCUCCUGACUUCAAGAAGACCAUACCUAGGAAACCUCCCCCACUGCAGCAAGUGCAGCUACCAUCAUCAUGGUGUCUGCCGGGAACUCAUAUGUGCUAGGUGCAACAUGAAGGGGCAUACUGCUCGUGUAUGCAGAGCUCCGGUGGAGCGUAUUGCAUCAAUCACUAAUGUGACGACCAAUCCAGUUUGCCGACUAUGUGGUGAGAUUGGACACUUCAAAAGAGAUUGCCCAACUGAAGGAAACAACAAGGACACAUGAGGAGCCUAACUCUACUGAUUAGGGAGAAGCAUCAAGGAACCCGGAAGAUUUUGGUACGUCUCUCGAUCUCAGAUAACUAAACUGAAAACAUAGUAGGGUUGACAUUUUUUUUUUCUGGAGGGUUCUUCAACAAACGUAUUCCAAACUCCAUAGGUGUGGAGAUAAGAGUAGAGUUAAUCAUAUACUAAACCAUACAAGUAAUUCCUUUGUGUACCUCUUUUGUGUAAUAGAUAUCUUAUUCUUUGCUUGCUUUACCUCAAUGCCAAGAAAAUAAUGUGGGAGACCCAUCUAAAAAUCUUUCUUCAUGGAUGUCUUGAAAUCAUGAAUCAUUUUGGAAGAGUUGCUUAGGAGAACCAGGUCAUCAACAUAUAGACAAAUGAUCAGUAGAUCUUUCUCAUAUCUCUUAAUGUAUAAAGUGUGUUCAAAAGUGCAUUUUGCAAAGCCAUAUUCAAUAAAAUAACCAUUGAUACGGCUAUAUCAGGCACAUGGUGCCUGUUUUAAGCCGUACAAUGCUUUCUUAAGACGACACACCUUCUGUUCCUCUCCUUUUUUGACAUAUAUCCUGCUGGUUGUUCGAUGUACACAACUUCCUCUAAUGUUCCAUUCGGAAAUGGUGAUUUUACGUCCGUUUGAUGGACUUCCCAUGCAUUGUGCAGCCAAUUCUAGAACAAGAUAUAUAGUUUCUAACCUGAUUACUGGAGCAAAAACUUUUGUAUAGUCAAUCCCAAACCUUUAACUAUAUCCCUUUACCACCAAGUGUGCUUUGUACUUAUCCACUUCACCCCUUUCAUUAACUUUAGUUUUAUAUACCCAUUUAACUCCAAUGGGUUUCUGAUUCUUUGGUGGAUCAACAAGGUCCCAAGUAUUGUUUCUGUUGGAUCAGGUCCCACUCUUCUCACUCACACAGCACACACACACACACACACACACACACAUAUAUAUAUAUAUAUAUAUAUAUAUAUAUAUAUAUAUAUAUAUAUGCACAAAGCAAUUAUGGAGAAUGGAAGUAAUUUAGACUCAAAAGUUGUACUCUUUCAUUCAUGCGUAGAUGGAUAUAUUUAUAGCUAAACAAGAAACAGAAAAAGCUAAAAACUUGCAGCUGCAUGUGUUCCUAUGAAAGUGGAACUAAGCCACGUUAUUCUCCUUCCCUUCCAGUUAGUCAAUAUAUAACCAAAUCAACUACCAAGUAAAUCUGCUAAGGUACUAACACGUGACCCAUCCUCACAGUUUUUCAUUGUAGAUUCAAUUUCAUCAUCCAUAUAUAGCAUCUCUUUAACGUUUUUCUUGACAUGCAUCUUCAUAACGAAUGGGGUCUGCAUCUGCAAAAAAUACAAAGUCAAAAAAUUCAUCAAAAUCUAGCCUUUGUGUGUUUUCAUAGAUGCUUGUCAAGGUCUUCAUUUUUUUGACGGGUGUGUUGGAUGAACAUGAGGCCGAACUUGUGCUUGGAUCCUGAGUUAAGGGGCUUUGGGGUUGUUAUCUGGAGUGGUACGAAUCCUGUAUAUAUAUUAACCUCUAUUAACUAUCUAUUAACCUCAAUUGUUGGAUGUCAAGCCUUAUGGCUAAGGUCAGUUAUGAAUGAAUUAAGUCAACCUCAAUGGGAAGCUACUAGCAUUUUUUGUGACAACAAAUCUACCAUUGCUCUAUCCAAAAAUUCGGUCUUUCAUGGAAAAAGUAAGCAUAUCAGGCUCAAGUUUCACUUUGUUUGAGAGUUAGUAAAGGAUCAAGAAAUUGAGGUUGAAUAUUGUUGCUCAAAAGAUCAAGUUGCCGAUAUAUUUACAAAGUCUUUUCAAGGUGGAGCAUUCAAUCAUUUAAAGAAGAAUCUGGGUGUUGCUAAUGUCUAGCUUAAGGGGAAGUGUUAGAAUUAAGCUAGUCAUUAGAACUGUUAGGAAUGAAGUAUUUAUGGUUGUUAAUAGAUAGUUAUAGCAGUUUAGUAACCAUUGGUAUCUGAAUAGUUGUAAUAGUUGUAACGGUUGAUAUAUAUAUAUAUAUAUAUAUAUAUAUAUAUAUAUAUAUAUAUAUAUAUGUGUGUGUGUGUGUGUGUGUGUGUGUGUAUGUUUAUGACAGUUAAUAUGUUGUUGUUCCGUAUCUAUCAAAACAUUGUUUAUUUUAUUCUUGUCUCUCUUAAUCAUCUUAAGGAAUCAGAUCAGAGAUCUACAUUUAGUAGCAUCAAUGAUAGAAAAUUGAUCAAGAGUCAAGAUGUCAAACUCUUGUGGGUAAUAACUCUUUGGCACCCAAUGUUAAUAUAGCCCGAUGCAAGGUCCACACCAAAUACACUUGACAAGAUUCUGAUGAUUCCCACUAAUUUUCAGGAUUGUUUAGUUUAUUAUAAUUUAUUUUAUUUAUCACUCGGUAUGCAUCUCUAAUUUCUGGGAUUGUUUUUUUUUUCUUUUCUUAUGUAAUUCCACUCAAUUAUAUUACCCCUUGUGUUGCUUUAAAGGCAUUUUGAACUUCCCAUGCAUGCAAGAAAGUGUUAGCUAAAAGAAAUAAACAAUUGGAAAUUUUCUUGGUAUUAUGUAGCAUGUAUGAGAUGUUAUUUUCUUUUUCUAAAUGUUCGUGAUUAUUUUAUGUGUAAACGUUUUGAAUAAUUUAAAAAUCAUUUUUAACCAACUUUUGGGGAUGGAAAUUAUAGAUGAGUGAGUGAAGAGAAAUGCAAAUGAUCUUAUUUGGGAAAUGAGAAACUUAGAAGGAUUUGGACAAGUUUUGAUCGAAACUUGUAGUUUUUAAUGAGAAUUUAUAUAUGCUUGCUGACAAGAUACACACAUAGGGUGAUAGGGUCAUUGUUAAGUGUGGGACAUGUUUAUUAUAACAUCCUUAUAUACAAUUAUGAUGUUGGUAUGAACUUUCAAAACAAUACAAAUCAAUAAAGAUGUCAAACAUUCUCUCUUAUAGCGCCUCUUCGGAUUAUUGUAAUGAAAUGAUAAAGUCAGUAUCGAGGCCUGAUGGAGCUAAUGCAGUGAUACCAAUGUAUGUCACUGACUUUAUGUAUUCAUCUCUAAUGAAAUACUAUUCCAUAGUGUUUCAAUCUAAAAUGGAAGCCAACUAUAACCGACCAGUGGUGUGGGCUGGGGUAUUCAUCCUGAUAACAUCAUUGCAAUGCUGUCUGACUAUAUUACUUGAUUUGUGGAGUGGUUUCUACAACAAGCGAUAUUGGUUCCCAUGUAGAUAUUUCUAUCUGGGUGCUGUUUCUCUAACAUUCGUAACAGUCGCAGUGAAAUUAUCUACGGAUAUGACAAGCCCGAUGAAUGGAAAGGUGGACAUAACAACUAAGUUUGGAUGCUUGGCUUUUAUGUGCACAAUGGUCACAAACAUCAUGCCUUCUUUGGUGUCCAAGGACACCAAAGAACUUCUAUCAAUCGUGAUAACUUUUGCUAUUCUCAUAAUCACUGUCAUCGGGAACACUUGGGUGCAGUGUAUUAGUCGUGUCAUUUCUAAGUUUGGAUACUUGUACGUUGGUUUUCUUAUUCCAACUAAUACUUUUACUUGCUUUUUCUAUAACAAUUUGAUCGUCUAACAAAAUUUUAGAUGCCAAGUAUUAGACGCUUAGCAAAAUGGUUUGGAAGGUCAAGCACCGCAUGACACAAUAUACUCUUGUAAGAGUCUAAGUAGCCAUAUGGAACGAUACUUAAUUAUGGCGGAAAUGCGUAACCCUGAGUUUGCGCUUUCUAGCGACCCGAUUUGCUUUUUUUUUUCUCUCUUAAUUUCUUUAUUCAGUUUGGGAUUUUACAUAUUUAUAGCGGUGACACAACUUGCUUCACGUGAUGAUUUGGUACAGGAUUCAGCAUACAGUUGGUCUACGUUUCCUAGCCUUCUAACACAGUUCAGUGGAACUAUAAUAGGGGUCAUUGCCCCUAUCAUUAGAUGUUUUACAGUUGUGAAAUGCAUCAUCUGAGCUUGUGAAAGCUCAAUUGGCGGCAAGGAAGCUGUGGGAUGAAUUGGACGACAACUAUAUGUGGGUGGAGAAAAGUGCAUUUCAAGGGAAAACAACCAUGGAGAGAUCCUUGGGUGGUUUUCUAACAAAGCAAAACAAAUUUUGGAUGGAGAACCGGUGCAUAACGUAUCUUGGGGGUUCAUUGUUAUGAAUUUAAUGUACUGCAUUGCACAAUCCAUCAUUAUGGUUACCACCCAAGAAGAAGAAGCAGUGAUUCCUGAAGUCCAAUUGUUUACGCUGUUAUCUCGAAUGAUAGCUGAUAUCUUGCUAGCCUCAGUGACGGAGCCAAUGGGGGGCUAGCGGGUGCUUCGCCACCCCCAACUGUUUCAAUUCAUAUAUUGGAAAGACUAAUAACUGAAUAUAUUUGAUUGGUUAAUUGAUGGUCCAUAUAACCCACCGCCACCCUUAUCUUUUGACAGGAAGUAUGAGUUUAUUUUCUUUAAAUGUUAAAUAAUUAUAGAUUCUUAUAUGGUUCCAUUUUGUGGAUUCUUUCUUUUCAAAAAUGAAAAAAUCCAUUUUGUUAGAAAUAGAUUAUAACGUAAAAAAUAAAGAUCUAUAAUACUGUUUCUAUAAGUGACUCUGAUUCAAAAAAAUCUCACUAAAAAGUCAAAUUCUAAAAUCAUAACCACAUUCUAUCAAAAUUUUAAAAUACUUUUGAUCCAACACAAGGGAUUUCUAAGGCACUAAAAUAUAAUUUUCUUUUUUAUUUACCACACACACACACACAUAUAUAUAUAUAUAUAUAUAUAUAUAUAUAUACAUACAUACANUAUAUAUAUAUAUAUUGUCAAACAAUAUAAAAAUAAGUCAUAUUUUAUAUUUGUAAAUUUAGAGAACCAAAAAGUCAUGGUUUUGAGUUUGUAUAAUACUAAAAGGUAACUAAUUUAUGUUUAGUAAAUUAAAGAGGCAUUAGAAAUUAGGCAUUUAAAACUUUUAUCAAUUACUCUAUGAUGAUUAUUUUUUGUUAGUUUUUUAGGUUGUUGAUUAUACGUAUUUAUUCUAAUGUAUGAUUUACUUAUUAACUUGUUAAUAUUAUUGUCUCUGAUUUGGAGUUGUCAAUUUGGCUAAAAAUCAUUAGAGCUUUACGAAAGUAAAUAUAGAUAUGAGCCCCUUAUCUUAAAACUCUGACUCCGACCCUGUAAGUGUGAGAUAUGUUGAUUUUAACAUCCUUAUAAAAAAAAUGAUGUUCGUAUUAGUUUUUAAAACAAUAAGCAUCAAUAUCAAAUACAUAUUACUUCAGUAAAGAUGUCAAACAUGGUCUCAUACACUGCUUCGUCUAGUUACUGGGAUGGGGUUGGUAUGUAGGCCCCACUAAUGUGGUAAUACCUAUGUACAUCAUUAACACUAAAACAUGUUAAGCAUACUACAAUCUUUGUUAACGUGGUAAAUUUUAACAUAUGAUAACCUUUUGUGCUUAUCGUUUUGAAAUUUCAAUUGUAAAUGAAGUUGUUUUUGUCCACCUCAACAUAGUUUACGAGAGAUGGUUUUACAUCUUUUUGGUUAAAAGAAAGGGAACAAACACUAGAUUACCAUUUUUAAUUUUGUUUAUUGCAUACUUCAUUGACGUGUAUAGAAAAAAAUAUAAUAAUUUUAAAUGCUAAUCAGAUUCGAUUCCGUUAACAACCAUUUUUAUUAUGCAUAAAAAUACUUAUGCAAUAUAUUAGCUUGUUCAAAACAUAAAAUUAAUUAAAAAAAAUCCAAUUAUGGUUUAUAUCUCCUAUUCUUUUUUUAUUAAGUCUACGUUUUUCAUGUGCAUAACUUAGUUGUACUAGACAACCGAUUAUGCAUGCUCAAUAGGUAUAAUUGGGUGAGAUCAUUGUAUACAACGUGCACAUAAAAUUAUUGUACUCUUUUGCAUUGAUCCUUUUUUUUUUCAAACACUAAGUUACUGAAAAUAAUUUUAUGUAUUUCAACAUCCGACGAACUUUUGUAUAUGGUAUAAAUUAUAGAAGAAUCAUAAUUACUUUACUCAGUUUUUUUAUUAAUAUAUUUAGCUAAUACCAUUCGACAUAUUUUGAAAUAACCGAAUAACCGAAUUUUUGUGGCUUACGAAUCCGAUGUUUUUUUUGCUUUAUCGAUUGAUCUAAGGUUGGAGGGAGUCAUUCCCUCCCAACCAUUCCCUCCCAAUCCACUGAACCCACUGCCACAUCAUUUUUUUCUCUUUUAUUUUUCUUCAUCUAUCCGAACCCACAGCACACGGAAACCCUAUCUUUUUGAACUCACUCAAUUAAAAAAAUAUACAAAACAAUCAAAUGUAAAAUCUUAAUUAGCAUUAGAGUUAUCGGCGGUACCAUUCCCACUUCAACGAGUGAGUUGAUUGGUUGCACUAACUCACUUCAUCAUCUCUCGCUACUUUCUCUUUCUUAUUUUCUCUUGUACCAUGUGUUUUAAAACUUGUACCUUAGCUGUUUUGUAUUUUUUAAUUGAGUGGGUUGGAAAAGAUGAAGAAAAAGAAGAGACAAAAAUUGAUGUGGCAGUGAGUUCGGUGGGUUGGGAGGGAACGACUCCCUCCUUCCUAAUAUUGUUAUGAAAGAAACUUUUGAUUUGUUUAUCAAUUUGGCUAAAAUUAAGAACUUUAAGAGGUGUUUAAGAUUACUUUUUAACCUCAAAAGUCCUUUUUAAAAAAAAAAAGACUUUUUGCAUAAAGGCUUUCUUAAAAUAUGUGUGGAUUAUUAUUUGAGGGGCAAAAUACAAAAGUUGUUUUUAAAAACUAUUUGGUUUAAUUUUUACAUCUAAAAUAACUAAAAGUCACAAUAAGUCACAUUUUAGUAACUUUUGAAAACCUUUAUUUUUCUUAUAUUCAAAAAGUCAUUUUUAAAAGAAAUUUUCUAUUAUCCAAAUACAGUUGGGCUUUUCUUUUUUGACUUUUUGAGGCUUUUCUUUUUUGACUUUUUGAGAAAGUUAAAAGUCAAAAACCAUUCUAAAAGGAAUCUCAAAUACCAUCCAAGUUUUAUAUGAAUAUUAUUUAUGUGAACUGUGGUGGACCUAGAAUCUUGACAAAUUGAUAAUGUCAAUGCAAUAAUGAUUAUGUAUUUUAUUUACAUCUUGUAUUGUUAAUUUUGACCAUUAUAUAUGAGAUAAUCAUAUUGUUGUUAAUAAACAUAAUGUAUGACCGCAAAUUUACAUCUGGAACCGACCCGGCCCGGGAACCGAAGUCGGCCGAAAUUAAUAACCGAACCAGACCGCUGGAUCUACCGGUUCCUACCGGUUCUUGCUGUGUCUUUGAUGUUGGAACCGGUCCUCGAGAAACAGCAACAUACGGUUCCGGUUUUUUCCGUUCUACCGGGGUUCCGUUUCUACCGGUUCCCGGUUCAAAAAAUGCACAAGAAUAUCGUCCCGGUCCCGGCCCAAUCGGUUCUAUCCGUUCCAGUUCCGGCCGGUUCCACGCACACACACCCACCCACCCAUCCACAAGAAUAUCGUCCCGGUCCCGGCAGGCACACACACACACACACACACACACACAUAUAUAUAUAUAUAUAUGAAAAUUCGAACGGACAAUUUUUUUAGCAUGAGAUUUGUUAGAAGUAACUACCGCCCCUUAGACACCAUAAGGAUGACCCCCUUGACCCUGCUAGGGGCUAUUUGGAACCCCACCAGGGGUGUUGCCCAGGGACCCCUAUGCUCCCGAAUUCACUUUGGCUUCUCUCGAUCGAGUAGACAACACCUCCAAUCUCAUAUUAUAACUAUAAUUCAACUCAGUUUGUCUCGACAAAUUUCAAGUACUCAAGAAUCACGAUGUCAUUAGGAUUGAGUAAUUGAAGAUAUUAUACACACAAGUUUUUACAUAAAUUCUAAUGUUCAUGCUUGAAACUAUUACAAGUCAUUGUUUUGUCCCCACGAGUGCAUAAAAGCCAAGCACUAAGCUUCCUGAAGCGGUAAAACUUCACUCACAUAGAUGGUCCUUUUAAUUCAUGCAUCAACACAUACAUGUUUUUAAUAGAGCUAUUAACGAACUAUUUAUCCUAAUUUUAAUUUGCAGUUUUAAGCACAUACCUUAGGAAGAAGUAAACCAAUGUGCUUUGAUCUCCAAAAGCAAGCCUUCUACAUUGAAUUCAAUUCCUAGCAUUGUAUUAGGAGGGAAUUGGGUAUCUUACCCUUUCAGAGAUACCAAACGGGACUUAAACUUAUCUUGAUAACCGACAUAUUUAUCAAUUUCCUAGCUAAUCCUUUCGUUAAAUGAUCGACUAGAUUCUCUUAAGUCGAACAAACUCGACAUAACCUAUAAACUAUCCGACGAUCAUUAAACAAUAGAGUAGAAUAAAUUGAAAACACAAUUGUCAUUAUACAGUCGAAUUAAAAUCGAUUUGACUCCAAGCUGGAGUCGAUUGAACAGAAUUUGAAAGAAAACUCGGAAAAAUGGAGUUGCGAUUUAAAGAGAUCGGCCGGCAGUAUGAAGAUGAAGAUGCUUCAAUUAGCCAAGAUGAAGCACAAUUCAGAAGGUUUAGACAAGAACGUACCUGGAUCAAGUAAGUGAACGCCGUCUGGGGUGAGUUCCGUCAACACCACCGCCUGAAGCAGAGAUACGAUCCAGAUCAGCGUCGGAGAGUGAGCAUCGUACCCAUAACGGCGUCCGACGGUGCUUGAGAGAUACGAUCCAGAUUGGUGUCGGGGAAACGUCUUCCGACGGUGAAAUCCAUCAAAAGUACAGAUGCGUCAAAAGCACAUCGCAUCUUACUUCUAUUUUUACAAGAAAAUAAUCCUCACUUGUUACUAAUUUAUUACUUUAUUUAGUUUAUCGAUUCAAAUGUUAGGUGGCCCAUCGUUUUUUCUUUACAAGAGUUUGAAGGAUGAUGAGUUGGCUUCCAAUAUAGUUUCCAAUAUAGGCAUAGAUGAGUGCUUUAAGUUCAUAACGUGUAUACCUUUCAUUUUUCACCUUUUCAGUGAUUUUCCUUUUCAUAUUUCUCAUUUUUUUAAAACCUAAAAA
rnacentral:lncRNA from 1 species